CCUAGAGUUGUAGGCUUUGCCUGCUAUCUCUUACCCAUGUCUUUUGAGUACCUUCGUUUCCUCGGCGGGUCCGCCCGCCGAUUGGACAAUUUAAACCAUUUGCAGUUGCCAUCAGCGUCUGAAAAAACUUAAUAGCUA
rnacentral:misc_RNA from 1 species